rnacentral:lncRNA from 1 species
AAGCCUAAAAAAUAAAUUAGGUCAUAUUUGUUUCUUCUAAGAAGCAACAACCACAUCUCUUACUUUCCUUUCCAUUUUUUGAUCGAUUUUGUACCUCCCCUCACCAUCACAUGAUUUUGUUUAACCAUUUUCAUUAAAGUUUCAGGAGCUACUUGAAGCUAUUUUGUUCACUUCCUCGAGUCAAAAAUUUUCACAAAGAUCCGUUGGAAGACAAGAGAGGGUCACGGGUUCCUUACCCCUUUUCUUUGUUCAUCCAUCCAUGCCAGUCCCUUUUUCUGCUAUCUUGCAUCACAAUUUUGACCUCUCACAACGAUUAUUUCUCAAAAUUUGAAGUUUGCAAAAUCCCGCCCAAACAUGAACCCUAGAUCAACAUCUCCUAUAAAUACUCACAUCCGGGUGGGUUUAGACAGGUUGGAGCCGCCGCUCGAACACUACUGUAAACACCACUAUUUUUCUUACUCUUAUCACUCUUCUCGUCUCUUAGAAACUCUCAGAAAGAACUUUCAAACUUUAUUUACUAUCUCAGUGUACUUUAGCCGCAAUAGAGGUGCUCGAACCCAUUCAACUCGAGGUUCGGAUCUGUUCAUAAUGAGAGAGUAGAUUCGAGGUCGAAGCUCUGGUUCGCUGCACUACAAGAGGUAAUAUUUGACCCCGUUCUGUUUCUUUUCUCUUUUUGUUAAAAAAUGUUGUAUUUAAGAAUCAUGUUUUUGACUUUAAUUAUCUUAAAAAUGCAUUCCUGAAAUUCUAGAUAAAGAUGUGUUUAGAAAUCAUGCUCUUAGGAAUUUAUAUUUUGAUCCUAUGGUGUUUGACUCGUGUCCAUAUUAUUUGUUCUAUAGAGUACAUUUGCUGACUUUAGAAACUGAUUUGGAGUCUAUUUUGUGCUUGGAAUGCAGAAAUGUGUGUGUCAUUUUCUCCAAUACUCUGGUAUAUUUUAUUUUUCUUUUGUUGUUAAUAAGACAACUUGGAAUAAGUUGCGACUCUUUUUCUAUUCUAUCCUGCUACAAGCAUAAGUGAACUUUAUGUUAGAAUUCAUAGAUGACAUGUUAUACACCAUGACUUUACAUCGGCUUAUUGGUUUUAAAAUGUUUUGUUUGAAACCAACUUUAACUAACUGAAAUACAUGUUGUCUUAUGAAUAUUAUGUCUUCAUAUUCUUCUUUGAUAUUUGGUUUAAGUGUUGGUAUCUUUGAUCAAUGUGUAAAAAUGACUUUAAAUUGAUGUGGAAUAUAUCCUUCUCCGCUUAUUGAAUUAGCUUAAAUCACUUUAUUGUACAGGAUCUGAGGCAGGUACAUCUGGCUAUCAGUCUGGUGCACGCCCCUGAUUCAUAAACCGAGACUUCCACGGUGAGCUGCUUCCUUCCUAUGCCGUUUAGCAGCUGGAUGGAGUCUUUUCUUACUUUUGCUGUCUUUUCUAUCUCAGACAGUAUGAUAGAGAUAUUCUUUUGUAUAUUCUACUAGAUGUCUAUUACUUGUGACACCAGGUCUUGGCACACACUCGAGUAGAAACUUAUUUUUGGGUUGUAUUAUCACUUUGGUACAGUAUUGAUCAUUUCCUAUCUCAACUUUAAACCGGAGGAUAUGUUGCGCUUAAUUUUGGUAAAAGUAAAAUGAGAACUUAAUUAUACUUCCGCG